GAUAUUGGUCAAUGGGGGGAACCCUGAACCAGCAACACCGCGUGAGUGAAGAAGGUUUUCGGAUUGUAAACCUCUGUCUUCGGGGAAGAUAAUGACGGUACCCGAGGAGGAAGCAACUGCUAACUACGUGCCAGCAGCCGCGGUAAUACGUAGGUGGCAAGAGUUGUCCGGAAUUACUGGGUGUAAGUGGAGCGUAGGCGGGAAGGCAAGUUGAAUGUUAAAUCUAUCGGCUCAGCCGAUAGCCGCGUUCAAAACUGUCUUUCUUGAGUGAAGUAGAGGAAAGCAGAAUUCCUAGUGUAGCGGUGAAAUGCGUAGAGAUUAGGAGGAAUACCAGUGGCGAAGGAGGCUUGCUGGGCUUUUACUGACGCUGAGGCUCGAAAGUGUGGGGAGCAAACA
rnacentral:rRNA from 1 species